rnacentral:lncRNA from 1 species
UUAUGUUUUUGAUAUUUGUAACCCAACGUUUUUCAAUAUGUGUAACCAUUAGAACAGUAUUUUUUACUGGAUGUGAAAGGUAGAAUUAAUGGUUCUAAAUGUUGCUUACCAUUUUACAUAGUUAGCUACCAAUGAAUGCUUAUAUCAAAGUAUGAAAACAGAGGUUGGUCAUGUUGGGUAUUGUUCAUAACAUUUUAUAAUAUUCUGUUACCUUAACUCCAGAAUUAUUUUUUUAUAUCCAGGAUUAGGAUUGAAGGUGCAAUUUCAGCAAGAAAGUUUGUAUAUUUUUUUAUUAAAUGUUUGUUGAUGGGUUUUUCUUCAGAGUUGCU